ACACUAGUAGUAUACAUCGUACAAUUGCCUUCCAAGCAGAAAGCCCCAAAGGGCUAGUGUA
rnacentral:tRNA from 1 species